CUCCACUGCCCUGCCUCACCCUCCAGCCCGCGCCGGCCACACCCCUCAGCCCCGCCCUCACCCCCAAACCCACUUUAAACUCCCGCCCCCUCUUAACGACGACCAAUGUCCGGCCGGGGAGCCCUCAGGAGGCUGAGGAUUGGCCGGCGCCGCGGUUGCCGAGGUGACGGGUGGGUCCGGCGGGGUCCGAGAGCCGGGUGCUGCGGGGGCGAGGAUUGCCGGGCAGUUUCCGCCCCGGCCAGCCCAGGCCUGCGACGCCCAGAUUUGCGCUCCUGGGUAGCUAGAGUGGGUGGUCCCCGAGAGCCCCUCGAACCCGUAAGUCCCCCGCCGGCCUCCGGCUCGGGGCGCGCCGCCCUCCGCCUUCGUCUCCACCCCCAGGAUCUGCGGCUGCCAGCUCCCGAGCGUGGCUUCCCCGGCCGGCGGCGCGAUGGGCUGCGGGAACUCCACCGCCGCCAGCGCGGGCGCGGGCCAAGGCCCUGCAGGAGCAGCUAAAGAUGUAACAGAAGAAUCGAUAACAGAAGAUGAUAAGAGGAGGUAUGUUUAGUGUUGAAGCUGCCUUUAAUUUGAGUAAUUUGGGCACACCUCAUGGAUUUAAUUUAACACAAAUUAAUUUAACUCACAAAUUUAAUUGACGCCUGGGUAGCACAUUGCCAAUAAUACCGAUUCCUCCAGGGAAACUUGUGGCACAGACAAUACAGGUGGGAGCAGGUAGUGUGAUAAAGAUCUUGCCCCGAGUUCUUCAUUAUCUUUGCUUCUUCCAAACAAGCGUGGUUUGUUCUGUGCACACAGCCUGUGCUAGCUUCCACUCGUGGACUUUGGAUGAGCUGUUCUCUCAAAUUGGAUGACAUCUCUUCACUUCCUCUGCCUUCUCCAUCCUUCCAUCCUCUGAUUAACUGCACUUCACUCUCAUUACUCCUUACCUCUCUCUUUCUCCUCACUUUAUAUCUGCUGCUGCUGCUAAGUUGCUUCAGUCAUGUCCGACUCUGUGCAACCCCAUAGACGGCAGCCCACCAGGUCCCGCCGUCCCUGGGAUUCUCCAGGCAAGAACACUGGAGUGGGUUGCCAUUUCCUCCUCCAACACUUUAUAUCUACCUACACAUAAAGUGUUUUUGUGUGUUCAUAGCACCUACUACCACAUUAGGUGAAUUCUUGAUAAAUGUUGACUGAUUAACUGUAACCUGUCAUGCCACUGUUAUUUAUUACUCCACUGAAUUCUAAAAACAAUCCCAACUCCUUCUUCCUCAUUGCAAGUAAAAUAUCUAAAAACUACAGCUUUCUAUUUUUAUAUGUAGCUUUUAUUUAAACAUAGAAAAACAAUGAUCUUCCAAGGACAAUAGUAUUCUGAAUUCUACUUUUGAAAAGUCAUAAAUUAGUUUAAUAAUUCUAUAAUUGUUUGAAAGUUCCCAUGAUAUCACCACUUUCUGCAAAUGUAACCAUGUAGUUUGGUCUGAUUUUUCUAUCUCUGCUUCUUUCUCAUCAAGAAACUAUGGAGGAGUGUAUGUUGGUCUACCAUCUGAAGCUGUCAAUAUGGUGUCCAAUCAGACAAAGACUGUGCAGAAAAGUAAGUAAAACUCUGUGAUAUUUACUGUUUCUACAUGUCUAAUUUUUUGUUUUGUGAAAAAAAAAUGUGAAAUUGAUAUUUCCACUUGCCUGGCUCACCCUAAAUAUUACUGAGUUUCAGUGAACCAUGUAUAAGAACCAUAUCUGGGACUUCCUUGGCAGUUCAGGGUUGAGACUUCAACCUUCCACUGCAGAGGGCAUAGGUUCAGUCCCUAGUUAUGGAACUAAGAUCCUACAUGCCACCAGGCAUGGCCUAAAAAAAAACAAGCAACAAUAGUAACAACAAAAACCCAUACAUGCUCAUUGUAAUCAUUUGUUGAAACUGCCACCCACGUGAUGAGAAUAAUUCCAGAGCAACAGUUAGCUUCUGUUUGUGGUUGAUCCAUGGAUAUUUUAAAUUUCAUCUUAAUUUCAGUGAUGAUCAGUGUGAAAGCAAAUGUUUCAGUAAAUUUAUGGAAUUUUUGUAGAACAUAAAGGUGAAUUCUUAUAAUACCUUAUAAAUGUAACUGGUAAGUAGCCUGGUGAUUAGAAGAAAAUUAACUGCCUUUUGUGUAACGAAAUGAAGUGGAGGCUCCUUUUUCUGAGUUUUAGUAGUUAGUAAUUGUGGGGCUAAUGAAGUCCUUUUGAUAAUAGGUAUGAUUGCAACUUUGUAGAUAGCUUCUUGCUAAAGUUAAGUUUUAAUGUGGCUUGUAAAGAAUGCUGAUUUACUAAUCACUAUACAGUUGUCUAAUAUAUGGUUUUUUAAAGAACUAUUGAUAUGUACACAUAUAUAGAUGUAACAUGUAAUUUAAUUUGUACACAAAUAUAAUAAAAAUAUUAUAUUAUUUUAACA
rnacentral:lncRNA from 1 species